rnacentral:rRNA from 1 species
AUUGAACGCUGGCGGCAUGCCUUACACAUGCAAGUCGAACGGCAGCACGGGAGCAAUCCUGGUGGCGAGUGGCGAACGGGUGAGUAAAGUAUCGGAACGUGCCCAGUCGUGGGGGAUAACGUAGCGAAAGUUACGCUAAUACCGCAUACGAUCUAUGGAUGAAAGCGGGGGAUCGCAAGACCUCGCGCGAUUGGAGCGGCCGAUAUCAGAUUAGGUAGUUGGUGGGGUAAAGGCUCACCAAGCCGACGAUCUGUAGCUGGUCUGAGAGGACGACCAGCCACACUGGGACUGAGCCACGGCCCAGACUCCUACGGGAGGCAGCAGUGGGGAAUUUUGGACAAUGGGCGAAACCCUGAUCUAGCCAUGCCGCGUGAUCGAUGAAGGCCUUAGGGUUGUAAACCGCUUUUGGCAGGAACGAAACGGCGCAAGCCAAUACCUUGCGCUAAUGACGGUACCUGCAGAAUAAGCACCGGCUAACUACGUGCCAGCCGCCGCUGUAA